CCUACGGGAGGCAGCAGUGAGGAAUAUUGGUCAAUGGCCGGGAGCCUGAACCAGCCAAGCCGCGUGAAGGACGACGGUGCCAAGCAUUGUAAACUUCUUUUGUCAAGGGACAAAAUGAGGCUCGAGUGCCUGACCGAGGGUACUUGAAGAAAAAGCAUCGGCUAACUCCGUGCCAGCAGCCGCGGUAAUACGGAGGAUGCGAGCGUUAUCCGGAUUUAUUGGGUUUAAAGGGUGCGUAGGCGGGCUGUUAAGUCAGCGGUAAAAGUUCGGGGCUCAACCCCGACAAGCCGUUGAAACUGGCUGUCUUGAGAGGGCGAGAGGUAUGCGGAAUGCGCGGUGUAGCGGUGAAAUGCUUAGAUAUCACGCAGAACUCCGAUUGCGAAGGCAGCAUACCGGCGGCGAACUGACGCUGAGGCACGAAAGCGUGGGUAUCGAACAGGAUUAGAUACCCGUGUAGUC
rnacentral:rRNA from 1 species